rnacentral:rRNA from 1 species
UACGUAGGUGGCAAGCGUUGUCCGGAUUUACUGGGUUUAAAGGGUGCGUAGGCGGUUCCAUAAGUCAGUUGUUAAAGGCAGCAGCUUAACUGUUGUAAGGCGAUUGAUACUGUAGAACUUGAAUUAUUUCGAGGUUGUCGGAAUACGUAGUGUAGCGGUGAAAUGCUCAGAUAUUACGUAGAACGCCGAUUGCGAAGGCAGAUAACUAGGAAUAGAUUGACGCUGAGGCACGAAAGUGUGGGGAGCGAACAGG